CUGAAGGAGGAGGGACUUACUAAUUUACUGCCUGUCCGUCUGCUUUCCAGGCAUAUAAAAACCCCACCUCUUCCUUUCUCCGACAGUUCUGCCUUCUCUUCUGAAUCCUCGACGUCAGCCUGUGAAGGAAAAGAAAACUAGACAAAAUGCGUGAGUGUAUCUCCAUGCAUGUGGGCCAAGCCGGAGUCCAGAUGGGUAAUGCCUGUUGGGAGCUGUACUGCCUGGAGCAUGGGAUCCAGCCGGACGGACAGAUGCCCAGUGACAAGACUCGUGGAGGUGGAGACGACUCCUUCAACACCUUCUUCAGUGAGACCGGAGCUGGAAAGCAUGUCCCCCGUGCCAUCUUCGUUGAUCUGGAGCCCACUGUCAUUGAUGAGGUGAGGACUGGUAUCUAUCGCCAGCUGUUCCACCCUGAGCAGCUCAUUACGGGUAAGGAAGAUGCUGCCAACAACUACGCCCGCGGUCACUACACUAUCGGCAAGGAGAUCAUUGACAUCGUGCUGGACAGGACACGCAAACUGGCUGACCAGUGUACAGGUCUCCAGGGGUUCCUCAUCUUCCACAGCUUCGGAGGAGGCACCGGUUCUGGUUUCACCUCCCUGCUGAUGGAACGUCUGUCUGUGGACUACGGAAAGAAGUCUAAGCUUGAGUUCGCCGUUUACCCAGCUCCCCAGGUGUCCACGGCUGUGGUGGAGCCCUACAACUCCAUCCUGACCACUCACACCACCCUGGAGCACUCCGACUGUGCCUUCAUGGUGGACAAUGAGGCCAUCUAUGACAUCUGCCGCAGGAACCUCGAUAUUGAGCGUCCCUCGUACACCAACCUCAACAGGCUCAUUGGUCAGAUCGUCUCAUCCAUCACUGCCUCCCUGCGAUUCGAUGGAGCCCUGAAUGUUGAUCUGACAGAGUUCCAGACCAACUUGGUGCCCUACCCCCGUAUCCACUUCCCUCUGGCCACCUAUGCCCCGGUCAUCUCUGCUGAGAAGGCCUAUCACGAGCAGCUGUCAGUCGCUGACAUCACCAACGCCUGCUUCGAGCCAGCCAAUCAGAUGGUGAAGUGUGACCCUCGUCACGGCAAAUACAUGGCCUGCUGUCUCCUGUACCGUGGUGACGUUGUUCCCAAAGAUGUCAACUCUGCCAUCGCUGCCAUCAAGACCAAGAGGAGUAUCCAGUUUGUGGACUGGUGUCCCACUGGGUUCAAGGUGGGUAUCAACUACCAGCCCCCAACGGUGGUUCCUGGAGGAGACCUGGCCAAGGUCCAGAGGGCCGUGUGCAUGCUGAGUAACACCACAGCCAUCGCUGAGGCCUGGGCCCGUCUGGACCACAAGUUUGACCUGAUGUAUGCCAAGAGAGCCUUUGUGCACUGGUACGUUGGUGAGGGCAUGGAGGAGGAGAGUUCUCUGAGGCCAGAGAGGACAUGGCAGCCCUGGAGAAGGACUAUGAAGAGGUGGGCACUGACAGCGUGGGAGAAGAGGAUGAGGAGGGAGAGGAAUAUUAAAGGGUUAAACAAACUAGGUGUUUGCCACCCUACAUUCCAACACCGUUGGAGUCCUACACUUAACGUGACAUCAACACAUUCCCCACUGUCAUGGUAACAGUCUCUGUUACACCUCGUCAUGUUGUGUCAGGGUUCUCAAUAAACGCAUCAUAAACCAA